rnacentral:rRNA from 1 species
AUUGAACGCUGGCGGCAGGCUUAACACAUGCAAGUCGAGCGGAGAUGAGGUGCUUGCACCUUAUCUUAGCGGCGGACGGGUGAGUAAUGCUUAGGAAUCUGCCUAUUAGUGGGGGACAACAUUCCGAAAGGAAUGCUAAUACCGCAUACGCCCUACGGGGGAAAGCAGGGGAUCUUCGGACCUUGCGCUAAUAGAUGAGCCUAAGUCGGAUUAGCUAGUUGGUGGGGUAAAGGCCUACCAAGGCGACGAGCUGUAGCGGGUCUGAGAGGAUGAUCCGCCACACUGGGACUGAGACACGGCCCAGACUCCUACGGGAGGCAGCAGUGGGGAAUAUUGGACAAUGGGCGGAAGCCUGAUCCAGCCAUGCCGCGUGUGUGAAGAAGGCCUUUUGGUUGUAAAGCACUUUAAGCGAGGAGGAGGCUACCUGGAUUAAUACUCUAGGAUAGUGGACGUUACUCGCAGAAUAAGCACCGGCUAACUCUGUGCCAGCAGCCGCCGUAAGAC